AGACAUGGAGGAUUUCAAGCAGAUUCUUUCUGACUUUCACCAGGAUUUUAAACAGAUUUCUUCUGACUUCUAUCAAGCUUUUAUGCAAGAUAUCCAGGACACUGUGGAAAAUAUGAGCUCUAAAAUGUGCCAUCAGGUUAGGGAUGUGGUGGAUGAAAUUGAGGAAUUUAAGAGCAAAAAAAGGGUUUUUUUAAGACUGAGAUUGGGAUUUUUAUUGAGAUGCU